AUGUGAAACAAUAUGUUUUCAUCUCCGCUAUGAAAACAUGGGGAUCUGCUCAAUCUUACUGCAGAACGCACUACACUGACUUGGUGACGAUCGAUAGCGAAGAAGAAAACCUUGAAGUCAAAAAGAUAAUUCCAACUAAUGACAAUGCUUGGAUCGGUCUGUACAGAGUGCCGUGGCUUUGGUCAGACAAAACCCAAAAUUCCUUCCGAAACCAGGGCUCUGUCGACUUCAAUAGCGGAAAUCAGCAUUGUGUCCUUCAGAACCCAUCACAUCUGUGGUCUGAUAACAAUUGUUAUAUUAAAACCUUUUUUAUCUGCCACCAAGUGGUAAGGAUGGCCACCACCACUGUAAAGAUAGCUACCGUGACUGAUGCUGAUCUGACUGAUCCAGCCAUCAACGCCCAGGUCCUCCAACAGGUACACUUGGUGCCCUGUUGACACGUCAGGGAUGGACAGAUUUUCAAAUACGAUGGAAGACUGAGCCCAAGAAAAAGGACAAAAAUUAAUGCACAGAACUUCAGUGUAAUUUACUUGCUUAAUGUUGUUCUUUGCAAAUGUAUCACCCUUGUGUUGUUUUAUUUCACUUUAAGCAGUAGUUUUAUAUCCUUUGGUGAAUCAAAUUGCAAAACAGCAGCAAACAGCACCAGUGUGUUUGCUUAGCAGGGGUGGUUCCUUCAUGGAUGAGAACCAGGGAAUCCCCAACAACUGGUGCCCUACUCCAUCCAACACCCACUACCCGAUAAACCCUGGUCUGCAAUAACCAAACUUUACAUCAUGUUAUUUCUUAGAAAGAUUAAGAAAUUAAAAAAUGUGUUUAGCACUAGUUAUUUUUGUGAAAUAUAUAGAGAAAGAUUAAAUAUGUAGAGAAAUAUGUUUCACUACUUUACCACUUAAUUUUAUUAAUCACACACUUUAAUGCAAAAAUAAUUUAAUAGAGGUUUGAAGUUUUGAUUUAGAGAAGGAACUCUGAAAAAGAUUGCUUGAUCGUUAUUCAUUGUUUAUAUAUAAAAUCAAUAUUGUAACCCAAGCUGACCUGAAAAUGUUUAAAAGCGUGAUUUCUUUGAGACGGAGUUGUCUAGAUCCAGUCUACCUGCAUCGAUCUGCAAAAAAACAAACUUUAUAU